GGGAGUGCUCGAAAGAGAGCCAUAACACAGGUGCUGCAUGGCUGUCGUCAGCUCGUGUCGUGAGAUGUUGGGUUAAGUCCCGCAACGAGCGCAACCCUUGCCAUUAGUUGCUACGAAAGGGCACUCUAAUGGGACUGCCGGUGACAAACCGGAGGAAGGUGGGGAUGACGUCAAGUCCUCAUGGCCCUUAUAGGUGGGGCUACACACGUCAUACAAUGGCUGGUACAGAGGGUUGCCAACCCGCGAGGGGGAGCCAAUCCCACAAAGCCAGUCGUAGUCCGGAUCGCAGUCUGCAACUCGACUGCGUGAAGUCGGAAUCGCUAGUAAUCGCGGAUCAGAAUGUCGCGGUGAAUACGUUCCCGGGUCUUGUACACACCGCCCGUCACACCAUGGGAGCGGGUCUCGCCAGAAGUGGGUAGCCUAACCGCAAGGAGGGCGCUUACCACGGCGGGGUUCGUGACUGGGGUGAAGUCGUAACAAGGUAGCCGUAUCGGAAGGUGCGGCU
rnacentral:rRNA from 1 species